rnacentral:rRNA from 1 species
UACGGAGGAGGCAAGCGUUAUCCGGAAUUAUUGGGCGUAAAGCGUCCGCAGGUGGCACUUCAAGUCUGUCGUCAAAGACUGGGGCUUAACCCUGGAAAGGCGGUGGAAACUGAAGCGCUAGAGUGCGGUAGGGGUAGAGGGAAUUCCCGGUGUAGCGGUGAAAUGCGCAGAUAUCAGGAAGAACACCCGUGGCGAAAGCGGCUCUCUGGAACGGUACUGACGCUGAGACGCGAAAGCGUGGGGAGCGAACAGG